rnacentral:rRNA from 1 species
CCAGCAGCCGCGGUAAUUCCAGCUCCAAUAGCGUAUAUUAAAGUUGUUGCAGUUAAAAAGCUCGUAGUUGAAUUUCGGGACUGGUUGCAGGAGUAGCCUAACUGGCUGCAUCUUGUGUACUUGUCCCUACCUUCUGGCGAGCCACGGUGCUCUUAACUGGGUGCCGUGGGGAGCCAGGACCUUUACUUUGAGAAAAUUAGAGUGUUUAAGGCAGGCUUACGCUUGAAUACAUUAGAAUGGAAUAAUGGAAUAGGACUUUGGUCCUAUUUUGUUGGUUUCUAGGCACAAGGUAAUGAUUAAUAGGGACAGUUGGGGGUAUUAGUAUUGAGUUGUCAGAGGUGAAAUUCUUGGAUUUACUCAAGGCUAACUAAUGCGAAAGCAUUUACCAAGGAUGUUUUCAUUAAUCAAGAACGAAAGU